rnacentral:rRNA from 1 species
AUGCUGGUGACAACGGGGCCACAGGCUUUCCUCAUGGCCAUGGCCAUCCCGCUCGCCCAGUCCGUUCUCUCUUUCGCCAUUUCCAAGAUUGGUUCAUUUGGCCGGCGCCGCCGUGACGAAGAAGAAUAUGACGACGAUGGUUACUAUUAUUCCGAUUACGGCAGCGGCGGCUGGGAAGCUGAAGAACAGUAUAGCAGCAACUCCUCGACAUACAGAGGAGACAGCAGCACUAGUAGCAGCAGGUACCAGCAGCAGCAACAGGAGGAAUCUGCAGAUUCAGAUCCAACGGUAGAAUCAGGUGAUAUUGACGGUACCACCGGCGCCGCAGCUAGAAGUGAAAGUGGUAAUAUCGGUUUUGGAGGAUGGGACGAGCUGGAAGAAGGCGACGACCGCCGCAGCAGCAGCAGGUGGCGUGCACGAGCGUCGCCGGCGGAUACUGCUACCGCUGGUGGUGCAGUGAGAACGAGUAGACCACCUGCAACUAGAAGGAGAAGAAGCAGAGGAGCUGCGGCUGCAAGGUACAGGCAGGCGCCCCUGCCGAUGCGCUUGCUCGUCGCGCUCUUCCCAUUCCUGGGUUCAUGGUUCAGAAUUUUGCUCUAA